GAUGAAUUAUAAGGAGGCUGCUAACUUUCUUGUAGCGGUAGCUAUAUAGAU
rnacentral:tRNA from 1 species